CAAGUAAUUAAGUGCAUGUGGUGGAUGCCUUGGCAGUCAGAGGCGAUGAAAGACGUGAUAGCCUGCGAAAAGCUCCGGGGAGGCGGCAAAUAUCCUUUGAUCCGGAGAUGUCUGAAUGGGGGAACCCACCUACUUUAAGGUAGGUAUUGCAACAUGAAUACAUAGUGUUGCAAGGCGAACGAGGGGAAGUGAAACAUCUCAGUACCCUUAGGAAAAGAAAUCAAUUGAGAUUCCCUCAGUAGCGGCGAGCGAACGGGGAUCAGCCCAUUAAGUUAUGUGUGUUUUAGUGGAACGCUCUGGGAAGUGCGAACGUAGAGGGUGAUAUUCCCGUACACGAAAGGGCACACAUAAUGAUGACGAGUAGGGCGAGGCACGUGAAACCUUGUCUGAAUAUGGGGGGACCAUCCUCCAAGGCUAAAUACUCCUGACUGACCGAUAGUGAACCAGUACCGUGAGGGAAAGGCGAAAAGAACCCCUGUGAGGGGAGUGAAAUAGAUCCUGAAACCGCAUGCAUACAAGCAGUGGGAGCACCUUCGUGGUGUGACUGCGUACCUUUUGUAUAAUGGGUCAGCGACUUAUAUUCAGUAGCGAGGUUAACCGUAUAGGGGAGCCGUAGAGAAAUCGAGUCUUAAUAGGGCGUUUAGUUGCUGGGUAUAGACCCGAAACCAGGCGAUCUAUCCAUGAGCAGGUUGAAGGUUGGGUAACACUAACUGGAGGACCGAACCCACUGUCGUUGAAAAGCCAGGGGAUGACUUGUGGAUAGGGGUGAAAGGCUAAUCAAGCCUGGUGAUAGCUGGUUCUCCCCGAAAGCUAUUUAGGUAGCGCCUCGGACGAAUACCAUAGGGGGUAGAGCACUGUUUCGGCUAGGGGGUCAUCCCGACUUACCAAACCGAUGCAAACUCCGAAUACCUAUGAGUACUAUCCGGGAGACAGACUGCGGGUGCUAACGUCCGUAGUCAAGAGGAAAACAAUCCAGACCGCCAGCUAAGGCCCCAAAAUCAUAGUUAAGUGGGAAACGAUGUGGGAAGGCAUAGACAGCUAGGAGGUUGGCUUAGAAGCAGCCACCCUUUAAAGAAAGCGUAAUAGCUCACUAGUCGAGUCGGCCUGCGCGGAAGAUGUAACGGGGCUAAAACUAUGUGCCGAAGCUGCGGAUGUAUACUUUGUAUACGUGGUAGGGGAGCGUUCUGUAAGCCGAUGAAGGUGUGUUGAGAAGCAUGCUGGAGGUAUCAGAAGUGCGAAUGCUGACGUGAGUAACGACAAAACGGGUGAAAAACCCGUUCGCCGAAAGACCAAGGGUUCCAGUCCAACGUUAAUCGGGGCUGGGUGAGUCGACCCCUAAGGCGAGGCCGAAAGGCGUAGUCGAUGGGAAAAUGGUUAAUAUUCCAUUACUUCUGUGUAAUGCGAUGAGAGGACGGAGAAGGCUAAAUCAGCCUGGCGUUGGUUGUCCAGGUGAAAGGAUGUAGGCAUGUAUCUUAGGCAAAUCCGGGGUACUCUAUGCUGAGAUCUGAUAGCAAGCUGUACUUGUACAGCGAAGUGGUUGAUGCCAUGCUUCCAGGAAAAGUCUCUAAGCUUCAGUUACACAGGAAUCGUACCCGAAACCGACACAGGUGGUCAGGUCGAGUAGACCAAGGCGCUUGAGAGAACUCUGCUGAAGGAACUAGGCAAAAUGGUACCGUAACUUCGGGAGAAGGUACGCUGUUGUUGGUGAUGGAACUCGCUUCCUGAGCUGACGACAGCCGCAGAAACCAGGCCGCUGCAACUGUUUAUUAAAAACAUAGCACUCUGCAAACACGAAAGUGGACGUAUAGGGUGUGAUGCCUGCCCGGUGCUGGAAGGUUAAUUGAUGGGGUUAGCGUAAGCGAAGCUCUUGAUCGAAGCCCCAGUAAACGGCGGCCGUAACUAUAACGGUCCUAAGGUAGCGAAAUUCCUUGUCGGGUAAGUUCCGACCUGCACGAAUGGCAUAAUGAUGGCGGCGCUGUCUCCAGCAGAGGCUCAGUGAAAUCGAAAUCGCUGUGAAGAUGCAGUGUACCCGCGGCUAGACGGAAAGACCCCGUGAACCUUUACUGCAGCUUGACACUGAACUUUGACCUUACUUGUGUAGGAUAGGUGGGAGGCUUUGAAGCUGGAACGCUAGUUCCAGUGGAGCCGUCCUUGAAAUACCACCCUGGUAAUGUUGAGGUUCUAACUCUGUCCCGUGAUCCGGGACGAGGACCGUGUCUGGUGGGUAGUUUGACUGGGGCGGUCUCCUCCUAAAGAGUAACGGAGGAGUACGAAGGUGCGCUCAGCGUGGUCGGAAAUCACGCGUAGAGUAUAAAGGCAAAAGCGCGCUUAACUGCGAGACCCACAAGUCGAGCAGGUACGAAAGUAGGUCUUAGUGAUCCGGUGGUUCUGUAUGGAAGGGCCAUCGCUCAACGGAUAAAAGGUACUCUGGGGAUAACAGGCUGAUACCGCCCAAGAGUUCAUAUCGACGGCGGUGUUUGGCACCUCGAUGUCGGCUCAUCUCAUCCUGGGGCUGAAGCAGGUCCCAAGGGUAUGGCUGUUCGCCAUUUAAAGAGGUACGCGAGCUGGGUUUAGAACGUCGUGAGACAGUUCGGUCCCUAUCUACCGUGGGCGCUGGAAAUUUGAGAGGAUCUGCUCCUAGUACGAGAGGACCAGAGUGGACGAACCUCUGGUGUACCGGUUGUGACGCCAGUCGCAUCGCCGGGUAGCUAUGUUCGGAAGGGAUAACCGCUGAAAGCAUCUAAGCGGGAAGCGUACCUCAAGAUAAGAUUUCCCUAGGACUUUAUGUCCUCUAAAGAGCCGUUCGAGACUAGGACGUUGAUAGGUUGGAUGUGGAAGCAUAGUGAUAUGUGAAGCUGACCAAUACUAAUUGCUCGUGAGGCUUGACUA
rnacentral:rRNA from 1 species